UACGUAGGGUGCAGGCGUUAAUCGGAAUUACUGGGCGUAAAGCGUGCGCAGGCGGUUUGCUAAGACAGGUGUGAAAUCCCCGGGCUUAACCUGGGAACUGCGCUUGUAACUGGCAAGCUAGAGUGUGGCAGAGGGGGGUGGAAUUCCACGUGUAGCAGUGAAAUGCGUAGAUAUCGGGAGGAACAUCAGUGGCGAAGGCGACCACCUGGCCCAACACUGACGCUGAGGUGCGAAAGCGUGGGUAGCAAACAGG
rnacentral:rRNA from 1 species